GUUAUAGCGUUUACAAGACCGGUUUCGGACUCUUAAUGAAGAGACCUUCGUCAGUUGUUUUUCGCUAGGUUGCUAAUGAGGACUUCGUAAAGUAUGCUCGAUUAGCGGAUUGAGACAUGAAGUCACGGGCCCGUUUAUAUAUCAGAGGUCGGACGAAUCUUUAAUUGAAGUGACUAGUCGGUGAUUGGCUAUCUAGCGUUUUACACUAUUUCGAUCCGCGUCAUUUUAAGGUAGGCUAUGUUUUGAAAACAAAAGGCCUAUUGUCGGUGACACGGUCGCGUGGUAGCGCUAUUGUUAAACCAUAGGAAG